rnacentral:rRNA from 1 species
CAGCAACUUGGGAGAAUGUUUCUUAUUUUAAUAAAUAUAUUUAUUUAUUAUAUUUAAGUAUUCAUGAAAUUUGAAUAUAAUUCUAGGUAAAAUUUUGAUAAUGACAAAGUUUUAUCUAUUUGUCUUGACCAAAUCUUGUGCCAGCAGUCGCGGCAACACAAGGAAGACAAGUGUUAUUCAUCUUAAAUCGGUUUAAGGGGUACCUAGACGGUAAAUUAGGCCAUAGUAGGAACGUUUUUACUAGAGUUAUACAUGCAUGGGGAUUGUGUCAGUAUUACCAGAGUAGAGAUGAAAUUUUUUGAUACUGUUAAGACUGGUAAAGGCGAAAGCAAACCUUUAUAUAUUAACUGACGUUGAGGGACGAAGGCUUGGGGAGCAAACAGGAUUAGAUACCCUAAUAGUCCAGGCAGAGAAUUAUGAAUGUCAUAGAUUAUAUAUAUA